UAGAUCACGUACCCAAGGGCUCGGAAUAGCGGGGGGAAACCGCCGGUAAUGCCGAAUAAUGUCUCCGGACCAAAGAUUUAUCACCCUUGGAGCGGUUUGCGUACUAUUAGUUUGUUGGUGGGGUAACGGCCUACCAAGGCAAAGAUGGUUAGCGGGUGUGAGAGCAUGGCCCGUCUCACUGGGACUGAGACACUGCCCAGACACCUACGGGUGGCUGCAGUCGAGAAUCUUCCGCAAUGGACGAAAGUCUGACGGAGCGACGCCGCGUGCGGGAUGAAGGCCUUCGGGUUGUAAACCGCUGUCAUAGGGGAGGAAAUUUUGACCGAUCCUAAGAGGAAGCACAGGC
rnacentral:rRNA from 1 species